CCAAACUCAUUCUGCUUGCUGCACGACAAGCCAAUAAAUCAGGAGACGAGGUGUUGGAGCAAGGAAUAGCGACUUUAUUUAGAACGCUGGCAGACCAAGAGGAUAGCAGACUAAUGUCUUGAAGAACCAUCCUCCUCCAGUCAGGAUACAGGCUCCUUUUAUACAAAAAAAAAACAAAACAAAACCAGGGG